rnacentral:rRNA from 1 species
AUAAUGGGUCAGCGACUUAUAUUCUGUAGCAAGGUUAACCGAAUAGGGGAGCCGAAGGGAAACCGAGUCUUAACUGGGCGUUAAGUUGCAGGGUAUAGACCCGAAACCCGGUGAUCUAGCCAUGGGCAGGUUGAAGGUUGGGUAACACUAACUGGAGGACCGAACCGACUAAUGUUGAAAAAUUAGCGGAUGACUUGUGGCUGGGGGUGAAAGGCCAAUCAAACCGGGAGAUAGCUGGUUCUCCCCGA